GACGUAGGGUGCAAGCGUUGUCCGGAUUUAUUGGGCGUAAAGAGCUCGUAGGCGGCUCGUUGCGUCAGCUGUGAAAACCCACGGCUUAACUGUGGGCUUGCAGCUGAUACGGGCGAGCUGGAGUUCGGUAGGGGAGACUGGAAUUCCUGGUGUAGCGGUGAAAUGCGCAGAUAUCAGGAGGAACACCAGUGGCGAAGGCGGCCACCUGGGCUGUACCUGACGCUCAAACACGAAAGCUAGGGGAGCGAACGGG
rnacentral:rRNA from 1 species